CCUACGGGAGGCAGCAGUGGGGAAUUUUGGACAAUGGGGGCAACCCUGAUCCAGCCAUUCCGCGUGAGUGAAGAAGGCCUUCGGGUUGUAAAGCUCUUUCAGCAGGAACGAAACGGUAGGCUUUAAUAAAGUUUGCUAAUGACGGUACCUGAAGAAGAAGCACCGGCUAACUACGUGCCAGCAGCCGCGGUAAUACGUAGGGUGCGAGCGUUAAUCGGAAUUACUGGGCAUAAAGCGUGCGCAGGCGGUUUUGUAAGACAGAUGUGAAAUCCCCGGGCUUAACCUGGGAACUGCGUUUGUGACUGCAAGACUAGAGUGUGGCAGAGGGGGGUAGAAUUCCACGUGUAGCAGUGAAAUGCGUAGAGAUGUGGAGGAAUACCGAUGGCGAAGGCAGCCCCCUGGGUCAACACUGACGCUCAUGCACGAAAGCGUGGGGAGCAAAACAGGAUUAGAUACCCUGGUAGUCCACGCCCUAAACGAUGCGAACUAGGUGUUUGGGGAAGGAGACUUUCUUAGUACCGCAGCUAACGCGUGAAGUUCGCCCGCCUGGGGAGUACGGUCGCAAGAUUAAAACUCAAAGGAAUUGACGGGGACCCGCACAAGCGGUGGAUGAUGUGGAUUAAUUCGAUGCAACGCGAAAAACCUUACCUACCCUUGACAUGUCAGGAAUCCUGUAGAGAUAUGGGAGUGCUCGAAAGAGAGCCUGAACACAGGUGCUGCAUGGCUGUCGUCAGCUCGUGUCGUGAGAUGUUGGGUUAAGUCCCGCAACGAGCGCAACCCUUGUCAUUAAUUGCCAUCAUCCAGUUGGGCACUUUAUUGGGACUGCCGGUGACAAACCGGAGGAAGGUGGGGAUGACGUCAAGUCCUCAUGGCCCUUAUGGCCAGGGCUUCACACGUAAUACAAUGGUCGGUACAGAGGGUUGCCAAACCGCGAGGUGGAGCCAAUCCCAGAAAGCCGAUCGUAGUCCGGAUUGUUCUCUGCAACUCGAGAGCAUGAAGUCGGAAUCGCUAGUAAUCGUGGAUCAGAAUGUCACGGUGAAUACGUUCCCGGGUCUUGUACACACCGCCCGU
rnacentral:rRNA from 1 species